rnacentral:snRNA from 11 species
AUACUUACCUAGCAGGGGAGAUACCAUGAUCACGAAGGUAGUUUUCCCAGGGCGAGCCUUAUCCAUUGCACUCCAGAACUCUUUGCACCUUCCAAAACUGAAACUGUGGC